CUGGAUUUUGCAAGAUCAUACAUAGUGACUGAUAACUAGCAUCAUUAUGCAUGCAGAUAUCGAAUGCAUACUUGCAGGUACCAAAAUGAUAUUUGAGUUUGUAAAGGAAAUGCCAAAACCUGAGACCCCAUUUAGGAUUGAGAUAGCUUCUCUUCUUGGCAGUUUGUUCUUUACAUGGGUCAUCCUGCAACUUUUUCCGGUAAAUGCAGAAAUAUCUGAACAAAUAUAUCAGAGAGAAAUUAAUAAGUUGUGUGUAAUAAGAGUAGUCGGCAGAACUAAGAAGACAGUACUGACAUUGUAUCCCUAAAUCCCAUUUAUAUGAUUUAAAUUCUUCAUCUUGAAUGACUACAGCAUCCAGUUCGUGUUCUAUUUCAUCUAUAUAAACUUACAAAUUUCACUGGCAUUUCUGUUGGCUUCCUUUUUUUCGAAUGUUAGUGUGCUACAGUAACUGCAUAUAUAGGCGUCUUUGGAACCAGGCUAUUAGCCGGCUUUCUUUUCCAAUUUUUAGUUCAAGAUAC